CAACUGAAAUGUGCUAUUUGACAUGAAAUCAGAUAGACAGUUUAGCAUUCUGCUACGAAUCCCCAAGUCAGCGAGGUCUCUCAAAAUUCCAUACUGCCACAUGGUAUCAUAUGCUUUCUUUAAAUCAAAGAAAACAGUGAGACAGUGUUGUUUGUGUAGAAGUGCAUCUCCUAUUUCGUGUUCAAGUCGGACGA
rnacentral:lncRNA from 1 species